AUACGGAGGAGGCAAGCGUUGUUCGGAAUUACAGGGCUUAAAGGGCGUGUAGGCGGAAUGCAAGGUGCUUUGUGAAAGCCCUCGGCUCAACCGAGGAAUUGCUCGGCAAACCGGCAUUCUUGAGGCAGGUAGAGGCGAUCGGAACGUUCGGUGGAGAGGUGAAAUUCGUAGAUAUCGAACGGAACGCCGGUGGCGAAAGCGGAUCGCUGGGCCUGUCCUGACGCUGAGACGCGAAAGCGUAGGUAGCGAACGGGAUUAGAUACCUCAGUAGUCC
rnacentral:rRNA from 1 species